GACAGAGUUUGGGGAUAUAAAUGUAGAAAUGGUAAGCCUAAGGUGGAAAUGAAGAUGGUGGGGUGCCCAAUGGAGAUCAGAAGAGGCACAAUGUUAUGGGUUUCAUUGGAAUUCAAACUGGGUUUGCAUCGGCGAUUGUUGCGGCGGACUUGGAUGCCAUCAGAUCAGCAAGGACUUCAAUGGGUAAUUUGGAUUGGAGGGUGGUUGCAUAACUGAAGACCUCAAUCUUCUGGACACAUCAGCAAUACUGCACAUGGAACCGAGAAAAGCAGCAACAGCAGCAGAUGCCCAGCUCUUCGGCCUCCUCUCUAAUCUCCUCCAGCAGUGGCUUCAAGGUUCUGAUAAUUGAUCUGUUUUUGUCCGAUGCUGCUCUCCAGUUCUCCAGUCCUUGAUGUUUGCAUCUCGAACUUUGCUCACAAGGUAACCUUCAUCAUCUUCUGAAUUUUUUGGGUCUAUCUUUGCGCCUUCUUCCAAGGUAUUCAUUCCCUUUUCCCACCACUUCGAAUUGUGUUGAUUGUGGACAUUUGACGAGUUCUUUGCAUUUUCUUUGAAUUAUUUGAUUCAAUUUCAGUUUCUUUGCAUUUUCUCUGAAUUUUGUUAAUGGGCAUUAGUUUUUUUGUUUCAAUGGCUUCAAGGUUCUAAGACAAAUUAGAUCUAAUUUGAUAUAAAUGGUGUUUUUUUAAUGUAGAAACUCGGCAAACUCUUUUUCCAUUGGAUUGAUAAUAGUUUAUUACUUGAGUCUUUCAGCUCACAAUUAAUUGGAAUAAAUUUUUUUUUUGUGCCUUUUUAUAAAAAAGACAAACUAAUUUCAUAACUCAGAAAUUUUACCAAGUUUUUCUGCUAAACUACCAACUAAAUUAAGCCUUAGAAAAUGUAGGCUCGCACCCUGUUCACUAUUGGUUUUGACAGAAUGUCUGUGAGUCCUUCAUACUGGUUUGGAAUUUUAGGAAAUUACGAGACAUAAGCAUCUUGAAGGAGUUGGAAAAAUUUGUUCUUUACUUGCUCGCAAAACUUUUUGCUUUAUUGUUGACUAUUAAUUGUGUGCACACCAAUUGUUUUCAGUUCUCCUUGCAAUAUCUGUUCCAUAAAUGAAAAAUAAUACAUGGAAGUGAAAGGUAUGCAUUCCUUUUAAACACUAAAUAGUACAGAUUCAGUCAGUUUGUUUGUUUGUUUUUUUUUUUUUGCCAGCAAAUAACAACCACUUUCUAUAAUAGGAAUGCACUUACAAAUACUUGGUAGCAUGGGAUUUGUUACAUUUGAGAGGGACACAAAUGCCUUGAGAGCCAGAAAAGUAUUGAUACCUGGAAUAAUAAACUCUAAUUCCCUCUCAAAACAAGAAUGAAAUCAGAAUCCAGAAAAGCCCAGAGUGUUGCAAUAAAAAAUAAAGAAUAAAAAGACAUCCAAUGGGAUUGCCCCCAUUUUGGUCUAAUAAUAACCCAGACCCCUGUAACAUCAAUGGGGGCAAUUUUGGCCACAUUAUUCUCCAACCAUGAAAGCAAUAUCAGAAUAAUGGUUCCAGACCUUUCUGUUCAACUCAAAAAUAAAUAAACUUAUCAUUUCACAGCCAUUCCCAUAAUAUAAUUUUGAUUUCUGACAAACAAAUAAGGUAUGUGUACAGUACUUUUGAGAUCACAUAUAUGAACGAAUAUCAAAGUUUCGUUUCAUUCAAGCUAGAAUAAGCUCCUUUUGCUUAGGAUAUACAUGUUUAUAAACUAAAUUCAAUAUUAUAUCACAUAAUUCCUAACCAUAUAGUCAAUUUCUAUUAGGAACAAAACCCCAAUUUAAAACAACAUUAUGCCAAUAGGUGUUUAAACAAUCAUCUAAAUAUCACUGACCUCUAAUUCCAGUUCUUCAUGCCAGGCUGUUUUGUGAGAUGAUGAGCAGAAACUGGUUCAAUGAGAGAAGAAUUGUUUUGGCAUUGGAGAGAGAGGAUGACUUAUUGAGAGAGUUCAUGAAAAGGCAAAGAAUUGGACAUUAGUCAAGAAUUGUAGGCAAGUAAUCUUAUUGACACUUUCUUUUUUCUUUUUCCUUUUUUAAAUGUUGUGACUGAGGAGGAUGAACCAGACACUUCUUGCUAUUUUUGGUCUCAAAGGUAUUGACUUAACACAUACACAGUUAAUGAAAUGUUUGAUUCUUUAAUGAGAAAUGGGUGUUAAUUUUUUUAUUCAUAAAAUGGGUUUUUCUAUAUUACUUUUGAGUUUGCUAAAUACUCUUUAAAUGCUGAUAUGGAUUUUCCUGUAUUUAUUGGGCUUUUUGUGUUUUUCUAUUUUUUCCCCCUUUAUUUGGGAGUGGGGAUUGGUAAGCUGUGAUAUAUAUAUAUAUAUAGUUUCAGCAUUGCCUAUUACUUUUUUAAGACCCUAUAAACAAUUGUCCCCUUACUGUAUGCUGUUGAUUUGUUGUUUUAUCAAUUGAAUUUUAUUAUAUCAGUUUAGUCUUAUAGUUUAUUUAAUUUCAAUCUAAAUUUUGUUGGCUGCUGCCCAUGAGCUAACCAAAUAGAUCCAAAGGGGUUGGUUUGAUAUUUUGCUUAUGAUCAUGUACUGCUUAACAAAUAUUCAAAAUUUAUUUAAGGUUGGAAGCAAAAUGAAUCUGAAAGGGUGUAGGUGAAGAUUGAAGAAGAUGAUGGAGGGUUACAUACACAAAAUUGAUGGGACUAAACUGAUAUAAUAAAUGGCUUUGGGUUUUUGGAAGAAAAUAAAUGGGGUUUUUUAAGUUGUAUUGAUUUGUAAAUGAUGGGAGAAUUAAGUUAGAGUUUAUUGUUGAAUUACCAAGCGAAGAGUUUGCUUUUUGAACUUUAUUUUAUUAAAUUCUUUCUUAAGAACACGUCUUUCUUAAAUUUUCCCUCUAACCUUAUGUGAUCAAUUAAAGGAAGUUCCAAAAAGAAAGAGUUGAAAAAAAUAAAAUCCAAAGAAAAUAUUGAUUGAUUUUUAUAAAUUAAUAUUUUUAUUAAUCAAUAAUUUGUAUUUGUGUUGAUAAUGUGUUGUGUUUGUUCGUAGUGUUUGCAUUGGGUAACCAAUUAUUAUUUUGCAACAAUGUAUGUGUUUGGUUUCAAUUGGGUAGUCUCUUUUAAUUAUCAUAUUGGCUUUUUUUUUUUCUAU